rnacentral:rRNA from 1 species
GACGAACGCUGGCGGCGUGCUUAACACAUGCAAGUCGAACGGAAAGGCCCUGCUUUUGUGGGGUGCUCGAGUGGCGAACGGGUGAGUAACACGGGGGAAACCUGCCCUUGACUUUGGGAUACCUUCGGGAAACUGGGGCUAAUACGGGAUGGGAGCUCCUGCUGCAGGGUGGGGGUGGGAAAGUUUCGGCGGUUGGGGAUGGACUCGCGGCUUAUCAGCUUGUUGGUGGGGUAGUGGCUUACCAAGGCUUUGACGGGUAGCCGGCCUGAGAGGGUGACCGGCCACAUUGGGACUGAGAUACGGCCCAGACUCCUACGGGAGGCAGCAGUGGGGAAUAUUGCACAAUGGGCGGAAGCCUGAUGCAGCAACGCCGCGUGCGGGAUGACGGCCUUCGGGUUGUAAACCGCUUUCGCCUGUGACGAAGCGUGAGUGACGGUAAUGGGUAAAGAAGCACCGGCUAACUACGUG